UACAGAGGUCUCAAGCGUUGUUCGGAUUCAUUGGGCGUAAAGGGUGCGUAGGUGGCGAUGUAAGUCUGGUGUGAAAUUUCGGAGCUCAACUCCGAAACUGCAUUGGAUACUGCGUUGCUAGAGGAUUGUAGAGGAGAGUGGAAUUCACGGUGUAGCAGUGAAAUGCGUAGAUAUCGUGAGGAAGACCAGUUGCGAAGGCGACUCUCUGGGCAAUUCCUGACACUGAGGCACGAAGGCCAGGGGAGCAAACGGG
rnacentral:rRNA from 1 species